rnacentral:rRNA from 1 species
GGUUAAGCGACUAAGCGUACACGGUGGAUGCCCUGGCAGUCAGAGGCGAUGAAGGACGUGCUAAUCUGCGAUAAGCGUCGGUAAGGUGAUAUGAACCGUUAUAACCGGCGAUUUCCGAAUGGGGAAACCCAGUGUGUUUCGACACACUAUCAUUAACUGAAUCCAUAGGUUAAUGAGGCGAACCGGGGGAACUGAAACAUCUAAGUACCCCGAGGAAAAGAAAUCAACCGAGAUUCCCCCAGUAGCGGCGAGCGAACGGGGAGGAGCCCAGAGCCUGAAUCAGUGUGUGUGUUAGUGGAAGCGUCUGGAAAGGCGCGCGAUACAGGGUGACAGCCCCGUACACAAAAAUGCACAUGCUGUGAGCUCGAUGAGUAGGGCGGGACACGUGGUAUCCUGUCUGAAUAUGGGGGGACCAUCCUCCAAGGCUAAAUACUCCUGACUGACCGAUAGUGAACCAGUACCGUGAGGGAAAGGCGAAAAGAACCCCGGCGAGGGGAGUGAAAAAGAACCUGAAACCGUGUACGUACAAGCAGUGGGAGCAUGCUUAGGCGUGUGACUGCGUACCUUUUGUAUAAUGGGUCAGCGACUUAUAUUCUGUAGCAAGGUUAACCGAAUAGGGGAGCCGAAGGGAAACCGAGUCUUAACUGGGCGUUAAGUUGCAGGGUAUAGACCCGAAACCCGGUGAUCUAGCCAUGGGCAGGUUGAAGGUUGGGUAACACUAACUGGAGGACCGAACCGACUAAUGUUGAAAAAUUAGCGGAUGACUUGUGGCUGGGGGUGAAAGGCCAAUCAAACCGGGAGAUAGCUGGUUCUCCCCGAAAGCUAUUUAGGUAGCGCCUCGUGAACUCAUCUCCGGGGGUAGAGCACUGUUUCGGCAAGGGGGUCAUCCCGACUUACCAACCCGAUGCAAACUGCGAAUACCGGAGAAUGUUAUCACGGGAGACACACGGCGGGUGCUAACGUCCGUCGUGAAGAGGGAAACAACCCAGACCGCCAGCUAAGGUCCCAAAGUCAUGGUUAAGUGGGAAACGAUGUGGGAAGGCCCAGACAGCCAGGAUGUUGGCUUAGAAGCAGCCAUCAUUUAAAGAAAGCGUAAUAGCUCACUGGUCGAGUCGGCCUGCGCGGAAGAUGUAACGGGGCUAAACCAUGCACCGAAGCUGCGGCAGCGACGCUUAUGCGUUGUUGGGUAGGGGAGCGUUCUGUAAGCCUGUGAAGGUGUACUGUGAGGUAUGCUGGAGGUAUCAGAAGUGCGAAUGCUGACAUAAGUAACGAUAAAGCGGGUGAAAAGCCCGCUCGCCGGAAGACCAAGGGUUCCUGUCCAACGUUAAUCGGGACAGGGUGAGUCGACCCCUAAGGCGAGGCCGAAAGGCGUAGUCGAUGGGAAACAGGUUAAUAUUCCUGUACUUGGUGUUACUGCGAAGGGGGGACGGAGAAGGCUAUGUUGGCCGGGCGACGGUUGUCCCGGUUUAAGCGUGUAGGCUGGUUUUCCAGGCAAAUCCGGAAAAUCAAGGCUGAGGCGUGAUGACGAGGCACUACUGUGCUGAAGCAACAAAUGCCCUGCUUCCAGGAAAAGCCUCUAAGCAUCAGGUAACAUCAAAUCGUACCCCAAACCGACACAGGUGGUCAGGUAGAGAAUACCAAGGCGCUUGAGAGAACUCGGGUGAAGGAACUAGGCAAAAUGGUGCCGUAACUUCGGGAGAAGGCACGCUGAUAUGUAGGUGAAGCGACUUGCUCGUGGAGCUGAAAUCAGUCGAAGAUACCAGCUGGCUGCAACUGUUUAUUAAAAACACAGCACUGUGCAAACACGAAAGUGGACGUAUACGGUGUGACGCCUGCCCGGUGCCGGAAGGUUAAUUGAUGGGGUUAGCGCA